GCCGAGGGUGGACGUAGAAGUCGAUGGCCGCCCGUUCGCAGCUCUUCUGGAUACCGGCAGCGCGGUCAGUUUGAUCCAGUCUCAUAUCCUCUCGCCCCGCAGACUAACCAAGGCUACCAUCCCGGUCACCUGCGUGCAUGGAGACACGCGACAUGUUCCAACCAGGAGAGUGACCAUCUCCGCUGGCCCUGACUCAUGGCCGAUGGACGUGGGCCUAGUGAAGGAUCUGCCGGUACCAGUCCUUAUCGGUAGAGACUGGCCGGGCUUGGAUCGCCUGCUGGCCGCGAACGUGCCAUUUGCCAGUCCUCGACGGGCCCACCUCCAAAGGCGGCCAGGAAAAAGAACCCGUCAUCGUCCCGUCUUGCUGGCCUCCGACAGCGGGAGAGAUGGAAGCAGCGAGUGACCCGGCGGAACCCCUGGAGCACUGCACCGACUCCCCACGAGCGGAUUCACCACGAGCACCAGGGUCCGCAGAACCUCGCAAGCUGGACCUCUCCUAAUUAAACGG
ensembl:lncRNA